UACGAAGGGGGCUAGCGUUGUUCGGAAUUACUGGGCGUAAAGGGCGCGUAGGCGGCUCUGAUCGUCAGAUGUGAAAGGCCUGGGCUCAACCUGGGAAUGGCAUCCGAUACGGCGGGGCUGGAGUGUGGGAGAGGUUGGUGGAAUUCCCAGUGUAGAGGUGAAAUUCGUAGAUAUUGGGAAGAACACCGGUGGCGAAGGCGGCCAACUGGACCACAACUGACGCUGAGGCGCGAAAGCGUGGGGAGCAAACAGG
rnacentral:rRNA from 1 species